rnacentral:lncRNA from 1 species
CUUAAAAGUUGAAGAAUGUUGACUGGAUUGUCUGCAAAUCAGUCAUGUGAGUAGUGUUAAUCUAAUGAAGAAGAAUCUUAAAAGACAAAUUCUCCAAAUGCUGCUGCUCCUGCAUCCUGCUGCUCUACCUGCUGUGGGGAGGAGGUGAGUGGAUGAUACCCAGCUUCCUUUCGUGGCAACAACACUUAAAAAGUAAGGCAUUGGGAAUUAGUGUUAAACAAGACACAAAAUGUGUGCUCUCAGGAAGAUCAUAUGCCAGUGCAGAGAGAUGAUAAACACGAAAUCCAAUAAAUACACAGUUUGUGCCAUGAAGAAAAUAAAACAAGCUGAUGAAAUUAUAACUA